UGUCAGACCGGGGUGGCUGAUAAAAAUUUCAUCCUAGUUUAUGGGGCGCUUUCUCCCUUUCAGUUGUCUUUUUUGGUGUGUUUGUGCUUCAGGCGAGUCGGACAAGACCCUUAGACCAGCGGGAUGGGGACACGCCACGCCGAGGGCACGAUGGCUGUGUUCACCCCAGGAAAGCACUGCCAGGCCACCCCGCUAGACGACCCUCUUCGGCGCUUCCCCCGGACAUGUGAAGGUCCCGCUGUUACAAGGUACGUUCCUG